GAUCCUGGCUCAGGAUGAACGCUAGCGGCAGGCUUAAUACAUGCAAGUCGUGGGCAGCAGGUUUGUAGCAAUACAGAUGCUGGCGACCGGCAAACGGGUGCGGAACACGUACAGAACCUUCCUUUGAGCGGGGAAUAGCCCAGAGAAAUUUGGAUUAAUACCCCAUAGUAUAAUGAAGUGGCAUCACUUUAUUAUUAAAGAUUUAUCACUCGAAGAUGGCUGUGCGGCUGAUUAGGUAGUUGGCGGGGUAAAGGCCCACCAAGCCUGCGAUCAGUAACUGGUGUGAGAGCACGACCAGUCACACGGGCACUGAGACACGGGCCCGACUCCUACGGGAGGCAGCAGUAAGGAAUAUUGGUCAAUGGAGGCAACUCUGAACCAGCCAUGCCGCGUGGAGGAUGAAGGUCCUCUGGAUUGUAAACUUCUUUUAUAUGGGACGAAAAAAGGCUCUUCUAAGUCGUCUGACGGUACCAUAUGAAUAAGCACCGGCUAACUCCGUG
rnacentral:rRNA from 1 species